GAUGAAGAACGCAGCGAAAUGCGAUACGUAAUGUGAAUUGCAGAAUUCAGUGAAUCAUCGAAUCUUUGAACGCACAUUGCGCCCGCCAGCAUUCUGGCGGGCAUGCCUGUUUGAGCGUCAUUUCAACCCUCGACCUCCCCUUGGGGAGGUCGGCGUUGGGGACCGGCAGCACACCGCCGGCCCUGAAAUGGAGUGGCGGCCCGUCCGCGGCGACCUCUGCGCAGUAAUACAGCUCGCACCGGGACCCCGACGCGGCCACGCCGUAAAACACCCAACUUCUGAACGUUGACCUCGAAUCAGGUAGGACUACCCGCUGAACUUAAGCAUAUCAAUAAGCGGAGGA
rnacentral:misc_RNA from 1 species